AGUUUGAUCCUGGCUCAGGAUGAACGCUAGCUACAGGCUUAACACAUGCAAGUCGAGGGGCAGCAUGGUCUUAGCUUGCUAAGGCCGAUGGCGACCGGCGCACGGGUGAGUAACACGUAUCCAACCUGCCGUCUACUCUUGGACAGCCUUCUGAAAGGAAGAUUAAUACAAGAUGGCAUCAUGAGUCCGCAUGUUCACAUGAUUAAAGGUAUUCCGGUAGACGAUGGGGAUGCGUUCCAUUAGAUAGUAGGCGGGGUAACGGCCCACCUAGUCUUCGAUGGAUAGGGGUUCUGAGAGGAAGGUCCCCCACAUUGGAACUGAGACACGGUCCAAACUCCUACGGGAGGCAGCAGUGAGGAAUAUUGGUCAAUGGGCGAGAGCCUGAACCAGCCAAGUAGCGUGAAGGAUGACUGCCCUAUGGGUUGUAAACUUCUUUUAUAAAGGAAUAAAGUCGGGUAUGGAUACCCGUUUGCAUGUACUUUAUGAAUAAGGAUCGGCUAACUCCGUGCCAGCAGCCGCGGUAAUACGGAGGAUCCGAGCGUUAUCCGGAUUUAUUGGGUUUAAAGGGAGCGUAGAUGGAUGUUUAAGUCAGUUGUGAAAGUUUGCGGCUCAACCGUAAAAUUGCAGUUGAUACUGGAUAUCUUGAGUGCAGUUGAGGCAGGCGGAAUUCGUGGUGUAGCGGUGAAAUGCUUAGAUAUCACGAAGAACUCCGAUUGCGAAGGCAGCCUGCUAAGCUGCAACUGACAUUGAGGCUCGAAAGUGUGGGUAUCAAACAGGAUUAGAUACCCUGGUAGUCCACACGGUAAACGAUGAAUACUCGCUGUUUGCGAUAUACGGCAAGCGGCCAAGCGAAAGCGUUAAGUAUUCCACCUGGGGAGUACGCCGGCAACGGUGAAACUCAAAGGAAUUGACGGGGGCCCGCACAAGCGGAGGAACAUGUGGUUUAAUUCGAUGAUACGCGAGGAACCUUACCCGGGCUUAAAUUGCAGAUGAAUUACGGUGAAAGCCGUAAGCCGCAAGGCAUCUGUGAAGGUGCUGCAUGGUUGUCGUCAGCUCGUGCCGUGAGGUGUCGGCUUAAGUGCCAUAACGAGCGCAACCCUUGUUGUCAGUUACUAACAGGUUCUGCUGAGGACUCUGACAAGACUGCCAUCGUAAGAUGUGAGGAAGGUGG
rnacentral:rRNA from 1 species